UUCAUAGUAUUAGUUGGAUGGCAUCAUUUGAUAAUUAAAACUGAGGUGGUAUAGGAUGGGCAUGCGUCUGAUUAGUUAGUUGGCGGGGUAAUGGCCCACCAAGACGAUGAUCAGUAGGGGUUCUGAGAGGAAGAUCCCCCACACUGGCACUGAGAUACGGGCCAGACUCCUACGGGAGGCAGCAGUAGGGAAUAUUGGUCAAUGGAUGCAAGUCUGAACCAGCCAUGCCGCGUGCAGGAAGAAGGCCUUCUGGGUUGUAAACUGCUUUUGCCAGGGGAUAAAAUUUCCAUGCGUGGGAAACUGAAGGUACCUGGUGAAUAAGCCACGGCUAACUACGUG
rnacentral:rRNA from 1 species